rnacentral:rRNA from 1 species
UUAAGCGACUAAGCGUACACGGUGGAUGCCCUGGCAGUCAGAGGCGAUGAAGGACGUGCUAAUCUGCGAUAAGCGUCGGUAAGGUGAUAUGAACCGUUAUAACCGGCGAUUUCCGAAUGGGGAAACCCAGUGUGAUUCGUCACACUAUCAUUAACUAAAUCCAUAGGUUAAUGAGGCGAACCGGGGGAACUGAAACAUCUAAGUACCCCGAGGAAAAGAAAUCAACCGAGAUUCCCCCAGUAGCGGCGAGCGAACGGGGAGCAGCCCAGAGCCUGAAUCAGUGUGUGUGUUAGUGGAAGCGUCUGGAAAGGCGUGCGAUACAGGGUGACAGCCCCGUACACAAAAAUGCACAUAUUGUGAGCUCGAUGAGUAGGGCGGGACACGUGGUAUCCUGUCUGAAUAUGGGGGGACCAUCCUCCAAGGCUAAAUACUCCUGACUGACCGAUAGUGAACCAGUACCGUGAGGGAAAGGCGAAAAGAACCCCGGCGAGGGGAGUGAAAAAGAACCUGAAACCGUGUACGUACAAGCAGUGGGAGCACGCUUAGGCGUGUGACUGCGUACCUUUUGUAUAAUGGGUCAGCGACUUAUAUUCUGUAGCAAGGUUAACCGAAUAGGGGAGCCGAAGGGAAACCGAGUCUUAACUGGGCGUUAAGUUGCAGGGUAUAGACCCGAAACCCGGUGAUCUAGCCAUGGGCAGGUUGAAGGUUGGGUAACACUAACUGGAGGACCGAACCGACUAAUGUUGAAAAAUUAGCGGAUGACUUGUGGCUGGGGGUGAAAGGCCAAUCAAACCGGGAGAUAGCUGGUUCUCCCCGAAAGCUAUUUAGGUAGCGCCUCGUGAAUUCAUCUCCGGGGGUAGAGCACUGUUUCGGCAAGGGGGUCAUCCCGACUUACCAACCCGAUGCAAACUGCGAAUACCGGAGAAUGUUAUCACGGGAGACACACGGCGGGUGCUAACGUCCGUCGUGAAGAGGGAAACAACCCAGACCGCCAGCUAAGGUCCCAAAGUCAUGGUUAAGUGGGAAACGAUGUGGGAAGGCCCAGACAGCCAGGAUGUUGGCUUAGAAGCAGCCAUCAUUUAAAGAAAGCGUAAUAGCUCACUGGUCGAGUCGGCCUGCGCGGAAGAUGUAACGGGGCUAAACCAUGCACCGAAGCUGCGGCAGCGACGCUGAUGCGUUGUUGGGUAGGGGAGCGUUCUGUAAGCCUGUGAAGGUGUGCUGUGAGGUAUGCUGGAGGUAUCAGAAGUGCGAAUGCUGACAUAAGUAACGAUAAAGCGGGUGAAAAGCCCGCUCGCCGGAAGACCAAGGGUUCCUGUCCAACGUUAAUCGGGGCAGGGUGAGUCGACCCCUAAGGCGAGGCCGAAAGGCGUAGUCGAUGGGAAACAGGUUAAUAUUCCUGUACUUGGUGUUACUGCGAAGGGGGGACGGAGAAGGCUAUGUUGGCCGGGCGACGGUUGUCCCGGUUUAAGCGUGUAGGCUGGUUUUCCAGGCAAAUCCGGAAAACUAAGGCUGAGGCGUGAUGACGAGGCACUACGGUGCUGAAGCAACAAAUGCCCUGCUUCCAGGAAAAGCCUCUAAGCAUCAGGUAACAUCAAAUCGUACCCCAAACCGACACAGGUGGUCAGGUAGAGAAUACCAAGGCGCUUGAGAGAACUCGGGUGAAGGAACUAGGCAAAAUGGUGCCGUAACUUCGGGAGAAGGCACGCUGAUAUGUAGGUGAAGUCCCUCGCGGAUGGAGCUGAAAUCAGUCGAAGAUACCAGCUGGCUGCAACUGUUUAUUAAAAACACAGCACUGUGCAAACACGAAAGUGGACGUAUACGGUGUGACGCCUGCCCGGUGCCGGAAGGUUAAUUGAUGGGGUCAGCGCAAGCGAAGCUCUUGAUCGAAGCCCCGGUAAACGGCGGCCGUAACUAUAACGGUCCUAAGGUAGCGAAAUUCCUUGUCGGGUAAGUUCCGACCUGCACGAAUGGCGUAAUGAUGGCCAGGCUGUCUCCACCCGAGACUCAGUGAAAUUGAACUCGCUGUGAAGAUGCAGUGUACCCGCGGCAAGACGGAAAGACCCCGUGAACCUUUACUAUAGCUUGACACUGAACAUUGAGCCUUGAUGUGUAGGAUAGGUGGGAGGCUUUGAAGUGUGGACGCCAGUCUGCAUGGAGCCGACCUUGAAAUACCACCCUUUAAUGUUUGAUGUUCUAACGUUGACCCGUAAUCCGGGUUGCGGACAGUGUCUGGUGGGUAGUUUGACUGGGGCGGUCUCCUCCUAAAGAGUAACGGAGGAGCACGAAGGUUGGCUAAUCCUGGUCGGACAUCAGGAGGUUAGUGCAAUGGCAUAAGCCAGCUUGACUGCGAGCGUGACGGCGCGAGCAGGUGCGAAAGCAGGUCAUAGUGAUCCGGUGGUUCUGAAUGGAAGGGCCAUCGCUCAACGGAUAAAAGGUACUCCGGGGAUAACAGGCUGAUACCGCCCAAGAGUUCAUAUCGACGGCGGUGUUUGGCACCUCGAUGUCGGCUCAUCACAUCCUGGGGCUGAAGUAGGUCCCAAGGGUAUGGCUGUUCGCCAUUUAAAGUGGUACGCGAGCUGGGUUUAGAACGUCGUGAGACAGUUCGGUCCCUAUCUGCCGUGGGCGCUGGAGAACUGAGGGGGGCUGCUCCUAGUACGAGAGGACCGGAGUGGACGCAUCACUGGUGUUCGGGUUGUCAUGCCAAUGGCACUGCCCGGUAGCUAAAUGCGGAAGAGAUAAGUGCUGAAAGCAUCUAAGCACGAAACUUGCCCCGAGAUGAGUUCUCCCUGACUCCUUGAGAGUCCUGAAGGAACGUUGAAGACGACGACGUUGAUAGGCCGGGUGUGUAAGCGCAGCGAUGCGUUGAGCUAACCGGUACUAAUGAACCGUGAGGCUUAACCUU